rnacentral:lncRNA from 1 species
UGAGUUACAGGAGGGCAUGCAAUGAUCUAUUAGUGAGAGGGAGGUUUUGAGAACCUACCAAGUCACAAAGGAUAGUGAUAUUCCACCAAAUAAAAGAGAUGGUGGGAGUGAUCCUACUAUUUUAAAUGGUGAAAACUUGCCUACAAAUGAUAAUCCACCGAAAAAUGGGGUUAGUCCUCAAGAUCCGAGCUUGGAACAUGAGCUUAGUUUUCAAGUUCCAAAUCCCAUGCCAAGGGACAAUGAGAGAGAUUU